rfam:Arabidopsis thaliana chromosome 2, complete sequence.
GAGCCUAUAGCUCAGUGGUAGAGCAAUUGACUGCAGAUCAAUAGGUCACCGGUUCGAAUCCGGUUGGGCUCU